CACGUAGGGGGCGAGCGUUGUCCGGAUUUAUUGGGCGUAAAGAGCGUGUAGGCGGCCUGGAAGGUCAGUUGUGAAACUCGAGGCUCAACCUCGAGACGUCGGUUGAAACCACCUGGCUAGAGUCCGGAAGAGGAGUGUGGAAUUCCCGGUGUAGCGGUGAAAUGCGCAGAUAUCGGGAGGAACACCAAUGGCGAAGGCAGCUCACUGGGACGGCACUGACGCUGAGACGCGAAAGCGUGGGGAGCAAACAGGG
rnacentral:rRNA from 1 species